CUCACCUUAAGCACAGGAGAGACAACUGAAACCAGCGUCAUUCUCUGACUCUCUAGAUUUCAGCAGGAACAAUGGCCAACAUUGGUAAUACCACGGACAUAAAGAUGGGCUCCAACUCAGGGGACGUUGGUUCCAAAAAUACCUUCGAUCUUAAAGGAGGGGUUGGAAACAAUGCUUCUGUGGGCAACACCACUGGAGUCACUAUCGGAGGAAAUAAUUCAGGAAACAUUGGAGGAAGC